GACGAACGCGGCGGCGUGCCUAAUACAUGCAAGUAGAACGCUGAAGGAGGAGCUUGCUUCUCUGGAUGAGUUGCGAACGGGUGAGUAACGCGUAGGUAACCUGCCUGGUAGCGGGGGAUAACUAUUGGAAACGAUAGCUAAUACCGCAUAAUAGUAGAUGUUGCAUGACAUUUGCUUAAAAGGUGCAAUUGCAUCACUACCAGAUGGACCUGCGUUGUAUUAGCUAGUUGGUGAGGUAACGGCUCACCAAGGCGACGAUACAUAGCCGACCUGAGAGGGUGAUCGGCCACACUGGGACUGAGACACGGCCCAGACUCCUACGGGAGGCAGCAGUAGGGAAUCUUCGGCAAUGGACGGAAGUCUGACCGAGCAACGCCGCGUGAGUGAAGAAGGUUUUCGGAUCGUAAAGCUCUGUUGUAAGAGAAGAACGAGUGUGAGAGUGGAAAGUUCACACUGUGACGGU
rnacentral:rRNA from 1 species